GGGCCCGCACAAGCGGUGGAGUAUGUGGUUUAAUUCGAUGCAACGCGAAGAACCUUACCAGGGUUUGACAUCCUGCGAAUCUCUUGGAAACGAGAGAGUGCCUUCGGGAACGCAGUGACAGGUGGUGCAUGGCUGUCGUCAGCUCGUGUCGUGAGAUGUUGGGUUAAGUCCCGCAACGAGCGCAACCCACGUCUUUAGUUGCCAGCAUUUAGUUGGGCACUCUAGAGAGACUGCCGGUGAUAAACCGGAGGAAGGUGUGGAUGACGUCAAGUCAUCAUGGCCCUUACGGGUUGGGCUACACACGUGCUACAAUGGUAGUGACAAUGGGUUAAUCCCAAAAGCUAUCUCAGUUCGGAUUGUCGUCUGCAACUCGACGGCAUGAAGUCGGAAUCGCUAGUAAUCGCGUAAC
rnacentral:rRNA from 1 species